UACAGAGGGUGCGAACGUUGCUCGGAUUUACUGGGCGUAAAGCGCUUGUAGGCGGGUUGACGUGUCGGAUGUGAAAUCCCUGAGCUUAACUCAGGAACUGCAUUCGAAACUGUCAAUCUUGAGGAAUUGAGAGGAGAACGGAAUUCCCGGUGUAGAGGUGAAAUUCGUAGAUAUCGGGAGGAACACCAGAAGCGAAGGCGGUUCUCUGGAAAUUAUCUGACGCUGAGAAGCGAAAGCGUGGGGAGCAAACAGG
rnacentral:rRNA from 1 species